GUGGGGAAUCUUCCGCAAUGGACGAAAGUCUGACGGAGCGACGCCGCGUGAAGGAAGAAGGUUUUCGGAUCGUAAACUUCUAUCCUUGGUGAAGAUAAUGACGGUAGCCAAGAAGGAAGCCCCGGCUAACUACGUGCCAGCAGCCGCGGUAAUACGUAGGGGGCAAGCGUUGUCCGGAAUGAUUGGGCGUAAAGGGCGCGUAGGCGGCCCGGUAAGUCUGAAGUGAAAGUCCUGCUUUUAAGGUGGGAAUUGCUUUGGAUACUGUCGGGCUUGAGUGCAGGAGAGGUAAGCGGAAUUCCCGGUGUAGCGGUGAAAUGCGUAGAGAUCGGGAGGAACACCAGUGGCGAAGGCGGCUUACUGGACUGUAACUGACGCUGAGGCGCGAAAGUGUGGGGAGCAAACAGGAUUAGAAACCCUUGUAGUCC
rnacentral:rRNA from 1 species